AUAUAUAGCGUGAAUAAAUCCCGUCAAUGUAGUGAAUGUACUCUAUUGGUACUUGUUAGCCCAGCGCACUCUGUCUAUCCAGCUCCGUGUUUCUCCCGUGCCCCGUUCCGUCUCAUACUCUCUCUUGUGACACUGUUGGUUAAGUGACCUGAGUUAUUCUGACCAGUGUUAAAGAUGUCAGUCAUGUCACCUCAGAGAGCACUACUCCUCAUCCAUAGGAAUAUGAGAAUUCGAUCAGGAUGGAGCAAGCACCUUCUGAGUGGUCCAUCUACUCUUCCCUACCAUCCCUCUGGCCCUUGCAUUCCUCGGCUGGCCCUUGUCAGCAACCCUGUCCGUGCCCUGUCGUCUGAAGCCCCCACUGGGCCAGGCUGGGGCACGCCGACGGCAGACAACGAUCGGUAUGAUAACCUUCACGUCACCUUCAGGGACGGUGUGCGUACUAUCACUUUCAACAGGCCUGAAAAGAAGAAUGCUCUUACUGAGAAGAUGUUUGCAGAUGUUGUUAAUGCCUUAGAAGAAGCUGCCAAGGACCCAGACACUGUAGUGACGGCCACCACUGGAGCCGGUAAUGUUUUCUGUGCUGGGAAUGAUAAGACAAACUUUCAAAACUUGACAAUGAAGCAAGUACAAGAACUCCUGACCAGACACAUGGCAGCUUUUAUAGACUUCCCCAAACCUCUGAUAGCUGUAGUGAAUGGGGCUGCUGUUGGGGCUGUAUUUUUCACACCAUUCUCAAGCUUGGGCAUCACUUUGGAGGGAUGUUCCAGCUUUACCUUCCCACGAUUCAUGGGUCAGGCAAAGGCUUAUGAAAUAUUGAUGUUCAACAAACUGUCUUUAUGAAGAAGUGUGGCCUCGUUUGCAGACCAUGGCAAAACUCCCGCAGAAGUCGCUGAUCUACAGCAAAGCUCUAACUAGGGAUGUGAUUAAAGACAGACUACACAAGAUUAAUAUUGAAGAGUG
rnacentral:misc_RNA from 1 species